rnacentral:lncRNA from 1 species
UUCUCCACCAGCUGGGAGACGCGGAAGGCGCCGAGCCGAGGGGGUCUCUCCUCCAGGGGUGGGGAGCAGCUCGGAGACUGGAGACAAGUGUUCGGCUCCUCCUUCGGCGGCCAGGGGGCUACACCAUCUCCUCGCACAAAGCCGAGGCGCCGGCCCGGAGUGUGGGAGAAGAGGGUGAGAGAAAGGCUGGGGAGGGGGCGGAGAGGACGAGGCGCCGAGCGGGUCCCCAGGCGGCCGCCGCCUCCCACCUCCUCGUGGUCCUGCUCCUCCUCCCGGAGCUUCCUCGGCCGCCCUCGGAGGGGUGCCCGCCGGGGCCGCGCGCCCGGCCGCCGCUCCACAGGCCCGCGCCCGCCGCGCCGCCGCCGAGGCCGUGUGCAACCGGCAGCUGCUGCAGCCGCGGGAGGAGAGUCGGGAUCGCCGCGAGGAGCCCGGGAGGAGGCGGGGCGCGCGGCGGAGGAACACGCAGGCGCCGCCCUCCUCGCCUCCUUCCCCCGGGGGCGAGGGGGCGGUGCGGGGGGAGGGGAGGGGAGGGAAGGGGAGGCGGGGGGCCGGGCGCGCUCCCCCGCGCCGGCGGCCGGGCCCCCGCCGGACUGCGGAGAGCUGACUGGGCGGGAGCGAGCGCGGCGGCGGCGGCGGCGGCGAAGAGAGGCUCUUUGUUGCCUCCCUACCCCGCCCCCUGCAACCCCCUGGGAUUCGGGCCGGCCCCCCCCCCCAAAACGUCCCGUCCGCUGUCGGCCGGGGUUCCUCGCCGGGGGGUUCCUUGCCCGGGGUUGUCCUUCACUGUCGGCCCCCUCCCCGUCGCCUCCCGCUCCCCAGAGGCUUGGGGAGCUCCGGGGCCUCCCCUACGGCCGCGGUGCGGAGACCUAGGCGCCGGGACCUCCUGGGCGCCGGACCCGCAGGCACCGGCGUGGGGAGCUGGGACGCGUGACUGACUGGGUACAGGGCCGGGCCAGGAGACUCCGGGUCGGCUCGCGGCCGAGUGCCUCGCGCGGGGCGAGUGCUCAGCCCGCCCUGUUGCGAUCUCAGGACUGGGACGAGGGAAUCGGGGGGCAUCCCGGUCAGCCCAACCGCCCGACCCCGCCGCGGCUGCGCCCAGCGAUUCCUGCGGAGUUGAGGAGGGGCAUAUAAAUGGAAAAUAUGGUCAUCAUUGUUCCCUUCGCUCCUUCCCGAGGAAUCCCAGCGUGCUGCGCCGAUGGAACAAGCUGAUGUGCACACUAGGUAUAGGGAUGACUUCAUCCCCAAACGAACGCAGCCGACUCUGGGGGAAACGCAGUCGCCGGAGACGCGCGCGGAACCGUGUGUUGCCGUAAGAGUGGAAGAAGAGAAACGCAGCCAGUGGAACCGCUUUCCAGCGUCAUUAGCAGAGGGAAUCCCGGGCAGGGGCGGGGAGAAAGA